GGAGAGGUGUCCGAGUGGCCGAUGGUGCCGCUCUCGAAAAGCGGUGUCGCUAACGCGACCGUGGGUUCAAAUCCCACCCUCUCCGCCA
rnacentral:tRNA from 1 species